AAAGUCCCCAACCCCUAUUAAUGAAACAAACAAACUGCCCUUGGAUCUAACGAGCUGACACCCCCAAAACCAACCCUAGGGCUGGGGGUAGGAGGUGUCCACUGGCUUAACUAAGGGGACAGUUCCCAGGGCUGCCAGCUGCACAAGGGGAGCCUGGGCAAAACUAGGCUCCUAUCACCACAAAAGGGGGUGAACGCUGGGUAACAGACACUAGUGUCAACCACACACUGAGGUGCCGGCAUGUUUGCUGAGGGAAGACGUGACAAUCUCUCCUACCUCGAUCUUUUCUUUUAUGGAGACGUAUGCACAGCUUGAUAACUCCAAGGAGAAAAAUGCUCUACUCAUGCAAAUUCAUUCCAUUUGUAUUUGCAUUUUCCAUCACUCAUUUGGGUACAGGAUAUUUUCAGCAGACUCCCAGCACCCAAAGCAAAUUAUAUUUAUGGGGCAUCCUUGUGCACUCAGAGAAAGGGGCCAUGCCACGGAGCGGAGGGGUGCAAGCUGGUUUGGGUGUCAUCAUUUUAAGAGCAUUUUUUUUUUUAAAGAUUGGCACCUGAGCUAACAUCUGUUGCUAAUCUUCUUUUCUUCUUCUUCUCCCCAAAGCCCCCCUAGUAUAUAGUUGUAUGUUCUAGUUGUGAGUGCCUCUGGUUGUGUGGGUGUUGUCUUGAUUCCCUCUGCAAACACUCUUCAGCCUGGUGGAUGGAUCUUCCUUUAGAGGUGAAGCAGUUUCCAAUUUCUCCUUUCUUGGGCUCGAUAAUCAAGUCGAGGCAGGAUAACAGAAUGUGUAGAACAUGGAGAAGGAAGACACAAGGGCAAAAACCCCAGAAGGUAAGGGGAUCAGUGAAGACAGAAUUCUGAGCCUGACAUCUUAGAAAUCAGAUAUGCUAGUUUGCAAACCUAAAUGCCCUAAACUGUCUUCUGGGAGCGGGGGAACUGCAGACUUUGUCAUCUUUUGCUCUGAUCGCCCCACACCCAGCAGGCAGACUCUGUUCUUUAAUUCUGGUCUUAUAGGACACACCCCUGACUGCAAGCCCGGCUAUGAAUCUGUAGCUUUUUCAAGUACACAGUGCCAGGUCUCUUGCACGUGUGUAACGCAGUACUGUGAUUUUACUUUUUAGUAUGGAAAAUUUUAAACACAUAUAAAAGUAGAACAGAAUCAUAAACCUCCAUUUUGCCAUCACCCAGCUUCAGCGACCAUCAACUCAUGAAGACAGUGUGUAAGUGUUGUCACACUAAUGUCUGUGUCACUUAAAAGUCUUGUUAAAAAUGCAAAUUCAUGGACCCCAUCUCAGACCAAGUAUAUUACAAUUUGGGGGGUAAAGUCCAAGAAUCUGCACUUUUCCCAAAAUUCCCCCAAAGGAUUAUCAUGGACAGUGAAGUGUGGGAUCGACUGCUAGGGGAGAGCCCUGGGAGUGGGUCCCCACUCUGCCAUUUACCAGCUGGGCAACUUGAACACAUUUCUUGUACUUUCUCAGCCCAUGUCUCCAUCCGGAUACAGAUAUUACAAGGCUACUGAGGGACAGACAAGACAGCAUAAGAGAAGUGCCCAACACACAGCAAAUGCUCAUGAAACACCCAAUGUUCUCAUUGACCUGCUUCACUUAGGUUUGGUUUCCAAGGCCUAAGGAAAAUGUACCUCAAGAUGGACAUGUUAUAAGGGCUUCCAGAGGGAGCCCUGCCAUUUUGUGGUGUUAGGUAGAGCUGUGUGCAUUUCCACUUAGGGCCAGUGACCAGCAGAAAAACAAACAACAUACAAGCCAGGGAGUUCACAUCUUGCUAUUAGCCCUCAGGGGUCAGAUACGGCUCUAAACGUGAGGUUCCCUCAUCCCUUUUUAAGAACACGCAGAGACCAGAGGAGGAUGAGUGUGGAAGCUCUCACUGGCAGACAUGAAGGGAGCUUGCCAAGGGAAUGGAUAGAGACUUUCCUCUGGUGCGUGUCACCCUGGGCAGUCAUUAAAGGGGCAGGGCUGGGCAGAGCAAGCCCACCUGUCCAGAUGGGAACUGAAUCCCCUAGUCCUGGUCUCACCAGCUCAGGGCGCGAACGCCAGAGCCCAGCAGUCACAAACCUUGUUCCUCAGCACGGAGCUCAACCCAGCCUUGCACAGAAUUGCUGCAUAAUAACUGCUUACAAAGGCAGAUGGGGGACAUGUUUCCCCAUCACGUCGAUGUGGAAACUGGGGCUUAGACAUAAUCAAGCUUAUAAUGGGCCUCGGAAGAAAUUCAUUUCGCAAAGCAGAGGGAUUAAUGAAAUUCUACCAGUUAGUGGUCUGAAUUUCUCUAAGGAAAAGUUUCUAAAACCCAGAGCAGAAAACAUGUAGGCCUGAGGCAAGCAGCUGACUAAGAGAUCGGAACAUCUCCGGGGCAGAGGAGGACACACUGACCUGGGGGAUGGGGCAGUUGGCCACCUUUAGCUUCUAGAACCAUUUAGGGAAAUGGGUGUUGACAGUAAGCAAGAGCAGCAGCGACUUGGCCCACAAGAAUGUGGGGAAACAGCAGAAGGAAGGAGGCUGCAGGUCGCUAGGAGACCUGGACUGACCACAGAGGUCCUGAGCAGACCCCACACCUGCUGCAGAGAAGCAGGUGCACAGCAGAACCCCUGUUUCCAGACACCGGGCCUGUCUGAAGGUGCUCGGGCUACCAACAAAAUACCACGGACGGGGGCGCUUAAACUACAGAAAUUUAUCUUCCCACAGUUCUCGAGGGUGGAAGUCCAAGAUCAAGUUCCCAGUGUGGUCAAGUUCUGGUGAGCUCUCUCCUCCUGGCUUACAGAUGGCUGCCUUCUCCCUCUGUCUUCAUAUGGUGGAGAGAGAAAUCUCGUCUCCUCCUCUUUUUAUAAGGCCACCAAUCCUACUGGAUUAGGUCCCCACCCUUAUGACCUCAUUUAACCUUAAUUACCUCCUAAAAGCUCUAUCUCCAAACACAGUCCCAUGGAGGGUUGGGGCUUUAACGUAAGAAUUUGGGGCGAGUGGAGGGACACAGUUCGGUCCACAGCAGCAGCAGAGGUCCCUUGGUGUGCCCAUAGCCUGGCAGUGGGUGGCAGCCUCUGUGUCCAGCGCUGUGUGGGAGUCCACUGUCCCUGCUCUGGAAGUGACUUUGGGCACUUCUCGGGAAUACCCAGCCUGGUUCUUUGCACCCUGGGGAUUCUGUGAGCUACUUGAUACAUUUUUUUUCUUUCUAUUCAAACUAGCUAAAACUAAUUUCUGGGCCUGUGGCUAAGACUCUAACUGAUGCCAGGCCGUGGAUGCCUCCCCUUUCCACGGAGUCCAAAGCUGACUCCUCUGAAUUUCCUGAUGGAUUCUCUAGGUCUCGCUGGCCACAUCUGAAAGCAGGCCUGGCCCGCCUCGCCGUGCUAUUUGAGAGCUCGCAUCCUCUCUCUUUUCAGCAGCGGCCUUUUGGGUCGGAAAGGGCUGCCCGUCUCACUGUCUUCCGGAGCUCCGAGCCUGCCGUGUGACUGCGUGGUUUCUCAUCCACAGCGGAUUUCUACUCUCUCUGUGCUCACUUAUCGAUCCCUUGACCAAUAUUCAUUAAGGCCCUAUUAAGCGAGCUCAGGGAAAUGGAAGCAUUGAAGGAGAAACAUGAAAUGUCUCUCCCUCCCACAGGUUGCUCAGAGACAAGACAUACCUUAUGAAAACUAAGCAACAGAUGUCGUGUUAAGUGCCAGACAGCAAAGUCCCACAGCAUGAGGAGACCUCCGCAGCCCCCUGGCCCAUGGCGGGGGGUCGCUGCAUUCACCUGCUGUGCUCACUCCUGGCGCAAUUGCUUGAACAAGUUACCGCCUUGGGCAGGAGGGAUGUAAGGACUAUGGGGCUCACGAAAAUGCACUGCUCAGACCUCCUGCAGCGGCGAGCGUGCACCGGCCUGCACCACAGCCGCCCCCACUCGCUCCCUCUUCACACAGAGGCCAUGCCCCUCCAGCCCCGGGUUGCUCCCGCCCACAACUGAGUGCGUGGGCGCGUGUGGAGGCCUAUUCCUGCAGGACAUGGCACCUGAAGGAGCAAGGCCCCAUUUACCCGGUGGGAACAUUCUCAGAACCAUGCUGCCAUCUGAGGCUCUCCCCAGCCACUCUGCCCCCAGGUGUCAGGCCUGCAUCCAGCCCGGAGGCGCCCCCACCCCCGCCUGCUCCUGCUCCCUCUGCCAACAGGACGCAGGCUCAUUCCCAACACUAUCACUCCUGUCUUGCUGAGCAGAACCCACUUGGGCCUGGGGCCCUGUUUGUCCUCACCAAGGAACUGGACAGAGGCCUGCCUCAGUCUCUGCACUUCACUGGCUCCCUUGCCCACCUUGCCUGUGAGACAGCUGGCACGUCCUGGGGGGAACUACUGGAGAGGUCAUACCUUCAGUCUGUGCCUUACCCUGGACUCCUCCCUGCUGUCUGGACUGGCUCUGCCUGGGGCACUUAGGGGAUAGUCCCAGCCCAGCCCCGCUCCGCCCAAGCUCUGGCCCUAGGUCAGCCGGCUUUGCUGACAACCUGGGAGUUGAGGCAGGCCUGGCCACUGACCCUGGCCCUGGGUGAGCGCUGCUGAGGCGGGGCGCCUCCAUUCCAGGGUGGGGGGUGUUCUUUCUUCUUCCUCUUCUCCCAGGACAUGGACACAGAAACUGCUCUAGCUGCUGGCAGCCACCUGUGACCACCAGGAAAGGUAGCAGAAGACGAAACGGACAUUCAGAGAAAGAACACAGCCCCGCCCUGGACUUCCUGUCCCGAGACAAAUAUUAUUAUUGUUCAAGCCAGUUCGAGUUAGACUUUCUGUUGCUCGCAGAUCCCAAGCACCCUACAGAGGAGAUGCUAUCUAAUAUAACAACAUCGUGGCCUGUCAGGGUGAGCCGAGGCCACUAGCUGAGGAGUCUGGUCUGCAGGCAACUGAAGCUUUGUGUGUGUGACACAAACUGUGUUCUUACUGCUAUUUGUGGAAAACAAUUUUCUUAAAAUAGAUAGAACAGACCUUGACACUCUGAAGACUAGCACUCAGAGUCGUCUGUUUUGAAAACAAGGCACCGUCAAGCUCUAGAAGAUGCACACUGGUAAGAAGGGGCCGGGAGUCCAAGUCCAGAGGGGGACAGAGGGGGAACAGACAUGGGCAGAGGGAGACAGAGGGGGACAGAGACGGGCACAGGAGGGCAGAGGGGGACAAGGGGAUAGAGUUGGGCAGAGGGGGACAGAGGGGGAAAGAGGGGGAUAAAAGGGGAUAGAGAUAGGCAGAAGGGGACAGAGCUAGUCUCCAACCCUGUCUUUCCUGAGGCAACCUGACGUGGUGAGGCAGGGGCUUGUGGACCCAGGGCUCAUCCCCCGGGCCACCUCUGAUUCCCAGGCAGCUGUGGUGGACACUCCCCCAUGCGGACAGGGCCUUCCCUGAAGCCACAGGUGUCCAUUCAGCCCCCAGCUCAGCCUGGCCCUGAAGCACAGCGGCAUUAACACCCUGGGGUGAUCCUCUACCAGCCUGGACCUACCCCAUAACCACAGUAAUGCACCCAUGGGGCCCCUCCCUCUUCCCACACCCUCCCUGCUAGCCAGGGUCACCUUCCAAAUAAUUAAAAGCACCCCCGCCCCUCAGCCCUGAGUCUCGGUUUCUGGCUCUGUUUCCCAGAGUAAGAGAAGUGGUAUCUGGUUUUUACUGUCCAAGCACAGGAUCCAUUCAUUCAGGAGACACAACUGGAAACAUACCACAGUGGACACGUGAAUUGUGUGGAGAACAGACAGCUCCACGAGCACCAGGAUGACUCCCAGGUCCUUGCAACUGUUCAGGCCCGGGGCAGCAGCCGAGGGAGGUGCAUGUCCCUGUGUGCCCACAGGACGGGCCCUUGCCAGUCCCUUGACUCCUCAGCUCAGCCCAGUCCCAGUGCCCUUCCCGAGCCUGCGCUUCCCCCUUUCUCUCCUUCCUCAGCAUCGCCCACCGUGGACAUAGGCGCCAGAGCCCUGUGCUGCUCACAUCCCAUCAGUCCCGCGUCCUGCAGAGCCCGCAUCUGUCUGAUGGGGCCCUCUCCCCUCUCCAUGCUCGGAAAUGCCCCCUUCCUAUUUCCGCCACUGUCUCAUCCAUCUUUCUGGAACUGCUUUCCAUUUAGGACUGAGGCUCAAAACCCACGACAGGACCGGGACCAGAGGCCAGCAGAAUGAUGCAGUAGCCGGCUGGCCCUAUGGCUGAGUGACUUCAGACCUGGCUCCCGUGAGCACUCCCUCUCGUCCAGGACCCAGAGUAACUGCCAGCUCUCGCAGGAGUGGUGCCACCACUGUGCUGCAUGCUCCAGGUCCCCUUGGCUGCUGGACCUGUGACAGCAGGGGCACGCACUUGGAACCAUAUGGGGACAUCAAGAAUGUUCUGCCCUAGGGGCUGGGGAGCAGCAAGGUGGGCCUCUCUAAGAUCUGAGCAUAAAUUCAGUUUGUCUGAAAGGGACGUAUGUUUUGCCUUUGCGUAUUCACAACCACAGGCCAGUGCCCCGUCAUGCAUUUACAGACUACUGAGUUUGUUUUCAAAUUGCUUUCGUGGAUGUUGUCUGUCCUGACCAUUCCACUGUGACUCAUGUACCCCUGGUCCCCAUGGCGACCCUGUGCAAACACCACGCUCUAGCCCAGACCUAGAAUUCUUCCCCCUCAUCUGCCGAUCCAAGCUCUGCUGCCCUUUCAAGGCCCAGCUCAAGGGCCACCUCCUCCUUGCAACCUUCCUUGACUACUCCUUCCCACCUGUCACCCUCGCAGAAUUCCUCAAGCACUGGCUGCAGCCCUUGGUGAGAGAGCUGGCUGCUGUUUCCUGCAUGUUAAUAUUACCUACGUUGCAAAAUCCUGCUGGAACAGCUCCUACAGAGUUACUGAAGUUUCUUGAACCCAAGCUGGCGGACAAAUGACUUGGAAUCCACAGCAGGACGCAUUUCCUGGAACGGAAGGAGCCCUGGGUUCUUUCAUUUAUUCAUUCAAGCAAGGAUCUCAGGGCUGAAGACAUGGAGACCAAAGGGUCUUGCAGGCUAGUGGCGGAGACAGACAAGGACACUGGUGACAAGGACUCCUGACACAAAGGACUGAGAACAGCUCCAUUAAUAGAGGACGGGUUCAGUGAUUCAUAGACUGGCUCUACAACGGAGUACUAUACAACCACGAAGAAGAGCAAGGCAUCUUCUCCCACACUACCAGGAAAUGACUGCCAGCAGAAACUGCUAAGCGGUUAAAAAGCAAGUUGUAGAACAGUUCUCUGUUCUGGAUGUUCUGGCACCCGGGGCCUCGCUGACUGGGAGAGGCCGCCCCUCCGAGGGGCAGCCAGUCCUUAGAGAGGGCGCGCCUUUCAUGCAAACAAGCCAAUCCAGAGCCCAGACGGAACCACCUCCUCUAUCUGGCUGUUCCACUCCAGGAGCACUACUCCUCUGUCCUAAUCAGGCCAGACACCUGCUGUGCCAGAAUCAUUUGUCCAGUGUCAAGGGUCUCUGCUCAGAACCGGGGCUCCCCAGAGGAAAGCAGGCCCCAAACCACCCUUCUCACACGCGGCCUCAUCUCUCACAGCCCAAGAGUGCUCCGGGAACGAGCACCACUUCACCGACUGUCUCAUCCCUCAGGCCUAUUGCUAGAACGUUCCUUAUCUCUUCUGCUGGGAGCAGGAAGGGAAGGAGCAUCCAUAGCGACAGCCCCAGCUAGCAGUGUCUCCUUCAAUCGCCACCUCAACCCUGGAGGCGCCAGUGCACAGAUGUGAAACCGAGGUCCGGAGCGGGUGAGUGAGCUGUCCGAGGAAAUGCACACCCUGAGCCGCUCUGACUCCGGGGUGACCUGCUGAGCGAUCCAGGGAGCCCUCAGUGAGAGCAUGAAUCCGGGAGCGCUUAACUAAGGUUUUCCCAGGAAGCCCUCGUCUGGGGCCAUUCCUUCCACCUGUUGUCUACCAGGGGCCCUGGUCCAGGGGCCGCCAAGCAGUGUCUGGUGACGGCUACGUGGAGGAAAGCAGAGCAGAGGAAUGACGAGCCCUCCCUGCACAGCCUCGUGUGGGCCAGGCUGGAGGCGGCGCAGCCGCAAUCGGUUUCCAGCUGGGAGGAGCAUUCCUAAAGUUCGUGAUUCUCAAGGAGCACCAUAAACGCUCUUCUCUAAUCCCCAACGCCUCCCCCACUGAUGGUUACAGAGUCUGAAAGGCCCCCAUACAGCCCCUCCUGCACCUCUAGGAGUCUCCUGUGAGCACAAACUCAGCAGGGAGAAUGGGGGCCAGGGCUGGGAGGUCAGUGGGCACCACGACUGGGAGAGGCAGGGCAGGGGCAUGGGCUUGAGUCCCAGGGCUGCCCUCACUGUGCUGGGGCCAUGGCUAAGACCCCCACCCUGGAGCCUGUCCAUGCUCUUCUCAAGACCCCCAGGGGCUUCAUCUCAUGCAGGUACAUUCCCAAGUCCUCCCCAUGCACACAGGACGAUGAAUAAACUGCUGUGCCCGCCCUCCCCACUGCGUCUCCAACCACGCAUUUCGCUCUGUGUCCUGCUGUCCAGCUACAC